ACUUUUUUAAUAUAAUAAGUAUAUUCAAUUUCCACUUGAAAAGUUUAAAUUUUAAAAAAAGUA
rnacentral:tRNA from 1 species